GUGUGUAUAUGUGUAUAUACACACGUGUGUGUAUAUGUGUAUAUACACACGUGUGUAUAUAUGUGUAUAUAUACA
rnacentral:pre_miRNA from 13 species